rnacentral:lncRNA from 1 species
CUUGCAUUCAUUAUGAAUUGACUCAAGACCGAGUUGAGUGGCAUAGUUGGUUAAGGUCAAUGUAACCUUAGGAAAGAAUAAAAACUGAGUAAAGUGUGGCUAAGAAUAAAGAAUAAAGAAUGACAUGUGAUACAGAAUUGCCAAUAUUAUAAAGAAUGGUAAGUGAUAGAGAGUAGAAUCAAUUAAUCUACUUGUAUGAGUUGCAUGAUCUACAUAUUGCAUGUCUUGAGGCACAAAUAUGUAUUUAAUAUUUGCAUUAAUUAUUUGUGGAUAUCUGUUGGACUAACAUGUUUGCAGUGCCUCAUUUGGACCUGGUGGGUCGAGCUUUUCCCUUGGAUGGCCGUACCCACUGGGAACUAUGGACAAUAGUUCUCACCCCCCGUAUUGUUUUUGGGGGUAUAGGUUCACACGUGAGCGGCGCGGCGGCGCGAGGAAAGGGCGUAGCUCCGUAGAUAGCGCCCUACCACCGAGACCAGAAAUAGUAUUACCCCGAGUCGGCUUAGCUAGGGGUUGUAGAAAAGAUGUAAAACAAUAUUGUAAUAAUCUUGAUUGUAUUUGGAAGAAAAGAAAAGGAAAAGUGUAAUAUGUGAUGUAGAAUGUAUUAAGUGAAUUGAAUGCUUGUAAUAACUCAGUUGUUUAUGUUUUUGAUACUUCCUUAUGCAAUCUGUAUGUUGAAUAUUGUUCCUGAUUGGAACCUCUUGUAAUGUAUUGAUUGCGACGCCUUGAAUGUAUAGGGGAGACUCUAUUCGUGGUACAGGGGAAACCCUGCCCGUUCGGCGGUCUGUCAGCGUGCCCGAAUCCGACCAAAGAGGCGGGCUCGGGGAGUGACAGAACCCCUCGGGCAGUCCGACUUGAAGUGACCCUCUUUGCCACACGAAUAGCACCUGCCCCGACCCUGUGAGCACUGCCGUGGGUAAUGGCGACCACCGCAGAUCACACAACUCAGAGUCUGGUGACGCUCAGAUCCUCCACGCUGUGCUGAUGAGUCACGUCCUCGCGACUGGCUCCUAUUCCUAGGGUGUCUCGGCGGCCUCCUAGAGUGCUCCUGGCUCGCACCCUCAGCCGCGGGCCUUUUGCCCUUUCCUUUAUCCAAGCCCUCACGGCGCUCCUGCAGAUCCGCCGCGCCGCUCUCCACAAUGAGCGCGCGGUUUACCACAUCUCGGUAAGUCUGGAGGUUGGAAGACUGCACCAACCGAAAGAUCGACGGUCGAAGUCCUCGCUCGAAGAUGCGAGCCUUAUUCUCGUCGUCUCGCACUACAAAGGGCACAUAGUGUAGAAGCCGAGAGAAUUCCCUCUCGUACUCGGCCACAGUCCGAUCCCCCUAGCGCAUCUCGCGCAGAUCUUGCUCCAUUUUUCUCUUAACACUGACGGGGAAGUAGUGCUCCAACAAGAGUUCCUUGAACUUCUUCCAAGAAAUUGCUGCUAGGUCGGUGUUGGGAUUAUCCUGGAUUCCCAACCACCAGCUAUAGGCCUCGCCGACCAAGUGAUGAGUGGCGAGCCAAACUCUAUCCCUCUCCUCCACGAAAGUGUCGCGGAAUAACUUUUCCAUAUGCAUCAACCACUUCUCUACGAUCUAGUGGUCGGCUUUCUCACCAUCGAAGAUUCUGGGGCUACACCUCCUGAACUCGUUGAGGCGAUUCAUGAGCCGCUCCCGCUCCGCUCCCUCAACCAUUACGGGGAAAAUUGCUGUUGCUACAGGCACCUGAGCUGGGGGUGCCGCAAAUACCUCCUCCCGAGGUGCUGCCGCAGGUGCCGUCCGCGAAGUGCCAUGUGCAGAGGACGACCCCCUGGGUGUCGCCACCUCUACCGGCGCGGGUGGUACAGGGACUUGAGCCUCCCUGGCAGCCGUCUGCUGAAGUAGAAGAUCCUCUAGGUGCUGCAUCCGUGCCUCUUGCCGACGCGCCGCAUCUGCCUGCUGCCGAGCCGUCGCCACCUGCUGCGUUACCAAGUCUGUGAGGGCCGCAAGCUGGCUCCUCAACUCACGGAUCUCGUCGAAUCCGGAGGUAGCGGAUGUCUCCACUUCCUCAAAAGUUGCCGUAUCGUCCGCUCCAACAGACUUAGAGCGUAUCGUCGGCAUUAGCACUACAACAUCAUAAAAACGUAAGUUAAUAAAACCCACGCUAUCGCAACCCCGCUCAACAAUAAGUACCCAAAUCAUGCGAAAGUAAGGAAGUGUUCUUUACUACUAACUCCCGAUGUUACGUUGUCGGCCGCCAACGUAACCCUCCGCGAAGUUAGAAGCUAUACACUUCGAUUUAACUCCACUUUCUAGAGUUAUCAAGAAUACCCAAUCAUGAUACUUUCGCUUACAAAUCAAAUAGACCUCGUCUCUCACGAGUCUAAUUCCUAUAGUCCAACCGGCCUAAGGUUUACUAGGUCCACUAAGACUCAACUCUAGGCUCUGAUACGAAAUUAAUCUGUCACGCCCUGGGACACAGCAUAGGCCCGCCCGGUGCGUGCCCAGACCCGCCAUAUGCCUACACAUAUAAGGCGUCUACAACAAAAGAAAUAUAAAAGCAAGGAAAGUAGAACAUCUAUAAAUAUCAGAGCAACUAGCAUGUAAAAACUAACAACAAGUAGGAAAAAAAAGAAACUGAACACUAAAGCAUAAUGUAAACUAAUACAUCAUAGAUCUCAAUAUACAAAAGUAGGGUGGUCUCUAUAACAAGGUACAAAACUCUCACAACCUCUCCAAAUGAAAAACAAAAGAGAGGUGGACCACCUAUCGCCGAGUCCCUUGAUAGCUAGCUCGAGACGAAACCUUUCCCGCGAUCCCGAGCCCCUCCCGAAGUGGAAGGCUCUAAAAUAGAACAUAAAACAGGGGGCGUGAGAACUAUAAUUUAUAAUUCCCAGUGGGCAAUUACUGACCUUAGCCAAAUGCACCAUUAGGCCCAAAUCAUGAGCAGAUAUAGACAAUGAAAUAAUAACUGCGGAAAUAAAAGCAUAUAAUAAAUGCUAUACUACUAUGCCACAAGUAAACAUGAUAUGAACAUGGAGUACAUCUACUCUAUCAUGAUCUAAUAUGCCGAUACAUAACAAGUAUGCUCUAUCAUGGCUACCAAGUAAGCUGUGAUGCAACAAGUAUUACUAUCAAGUAUACCACAUAUCAAAGUGUCCAAUACAUAUCUAGGAUGCACUAAUAUGGCAACCAAGUAUACUCUAUGUCCCAAUGUCCACUGAAUCCAACUACGAUAUACUAUCAAGUAGUGAUUAUAACAUAUACGACUCCGUGUCGAUUUCCAUGUCCCAAUUAAGGACCUACACAAGGUAGUCCAGCUUGUGCCGCCUAGCUGCCUGUGGUAGCCCAUCAUUCCAUGCUAGGAAUGAGUCUGUCCCACACGGCCCUGCAGGCGUCUCGCCGCCUAGCUGCCCGUGGUAGCUCAUCAUCCCGCGCUGGAAUGAGACUAUCCCAUGCGACCCUACAGGCGUCUCAAUCCCGCAUGCGUGAACCGUGUCGCAAAAGGCCAACUCCGGAGUGCCGGCUUGUAGGGAGCGACCCUCACAAGCAUGUGCGAAUGAGCACAAAUGGCAAGCAAGCAAAGUCAUCAUCUCAACGAUCAGGUCAUCAUGGCUCUACCAUGGAAAUGAUCGCUAGCAACUCAUAGGUCUAGUCCAAUGUCCCAAGUGAAGGUUUAACCGUUCAAUAAUUCCAAUACCCUUUUUGUGACCUUAGAUUUACUAAGUCCAUACAUAUUUCAAGCCUAAUGCCUCUUUAUAACAUUAGCUUACUAUACCAAUUCCAAGCCUAAUGUCUCUUUAUGACAUUAGCUUAUUAUCUAUGCCAAGCAUGAAUUCUAAGUCCAAGAGUGUAUGAAGCUUGUCAUAUUCACUAUAUGCAACAUGAUCCAAAGUUACAAUAAGAAUGCUAUCCAUAGAGCCGAGCCCAACAUGAAAUUCUCUACUACAUAGAGGUCCAAAAAUGCAUUAUACAUAACAUGUGUAUUUUCAGCAUUCUAAAAUUCUCAAUAAUUCUAUUUAGCAUGAAUAUGCAUGCAUUUUCAUUUUACGAUAAGUAAAAACCAUUAUAGGGAUGAUUUAUUCCAUUUUGGUGAGGCCAAACCCACCACAACUCUUGCGCUCCUUCGUUUGCUCCGACGAAGGUGUCCACUAGUCUCCUAGCAUCCUAAAGAUGUAGGAACAAGAGUUAAACGAACCUUAUGAACAACCAUAAGGUUGAUCAUUAACCAUCUCAAGCUAAGGUGGAAAAAAACUCACCGAAUGCGAAGGAAGCUCUCUCGAUCUCCAAAUGGGAGUUAAAGUCUUUCCAAACCAACCUAAACAAGGGUUCUAAACCCAUCAAUUAGGUUCCAAAGCCCCCAAAUCAAAAAUUCCCAAAAUAACCCUAAAUCCCAAAAUCUAGGAUUUUAUUUGAUAAAACCUACCGAAACAUGCUCUAAAGAAUAGAUUAAGCAUACUAACCUCCUUGGUAGCUCCAAACAAAGCUCAAAAUGCUCUAAGGUUGAAGAUUGAUUCUCUAUCGAGCUCCUAGCCCAAGCUCCAAGCCUCCAAUGGUGAAGAAAGAGAGAAAGGGUUGAUGCUCCAAGCCUCCUCAAGCAAGCUCCUCCUCUCCUCCUUCUCCUUCCUCUUCUUCUUCUUCUCUUUCUAGAGGAUGUGAGAGAGUGAGAAGUGAGGGAAUGAGAGAGAGAAAAUGGCCUAUAAGCCCUCCCAAGUAACAAUAUCCACUUAGGUCCCCCAACAAUCCAUCCUGUGCAUCAGCCCAAACUGGGCAGUUUUCGCCCAGAUGGACCGGUCUCUCCCUGCCUGGGACCGGUCUCUCGGUUCGUCCCGUAAAACCAACGUUCGGGAACCAGUCUCUCCCCACAUGGGACCGGUCUCUCCCCGCGAAAAUGUACUCGGGGACCGGUCUCAACCGCUAAGGACCGGUUGCCUCAAGUCCUGCCGCAGCACUGUUCCGGGGUGACCGGUCUCUCCCACCAAGGACCGGUCCCCGAGAGUGAAAACUCUCAGGACUUGCCAAAAUCCAAAAUUCAAACUUUUUAGGUCGGAAUACAUUCUACGACCCUCCACAAAGCAUGGAAAAGCUCGGAACUCAAGUCAAACACUCGAACCUUGCAAUUUGCACGGGUCUAGUGUGUUACAGUGAGAGAUAGAAACGUGAGGGGCUUCUUAGCAUUUUGUUACAAUAUAAGAGGGGAUUAAGAGAGGGCUUCUCUCUCUCUCUCUCUCUCUCUCUCUCUCUCUCUCUCUCUCUCUCUUUCCCUCACUCUCUUUCAUCUCUCUCUCUCUCUCUGUACGUGAAGGAGAAGAGAAGAAAGAAAAGAAAAGAAGAAGAAAGAAAGGAAAAGAGAAGAAGAAAAGAAGGAGAAGAUGGAAGAGAAGAAGAGGAUCAUCAUCACCAUCAUCAUCAUCUUCUUCUUCUCACCAUUGGAGCAAGCUUAGAGAGGUAAGCUUGGUGCUCUCUCAUGGUAGAUCUUUAGAGAUAGGUUUUUGAUCUCUAAGAAUGGAUGGAAUGGAACCCUAGCAUGCUAUUAAGAUGGUUUUUCCCCAUUUCAUAGAUCGAUUUAGUGGAUUUGGUAGUAGUAGCAUCUAGGGUAUCCAAAAUGGGGUUUUGGUAUAUAUGAGGGUUUGAUCUCAUUUGACCCUCUAUAAACCUAAUUGUUAGGUGUCUAAACGCAUGGGAAGCGACGGAUUGAGCAUUCGUCGAGCAGGUGUAGAGAUAUCGGCAAAAUAAGGCCGAGCGAGCUUCGUUUUGACCAAGAGGGCCGAGGCGACGUCUAUAAAUCGCGAAAUUGGGUCCCGAGCACUGUAACAACAAAGCGAAGACCUUUAGUUCUCGGAACUGCCAAGCGGCGCGCUGUUGGAGCGCAACUGCGAGAUCGGGCCAAAUUGGGUGCCGAGUGCCGCAGGAGGCCGAUUGCAAGUGUCGACGAGCAAUCGGAAAGCUAGCUAAGGUGGGUUGUGCUUAUCGAAGCGACUAGGUCGCCCUUUAUGUCUAAGAAACAUACGAUUUCAUAUUGAUGCAUGUUAAUAAAAUGACAUAGAUGAUGCAUGUGGUAAAAUGCUAAGUAGAUGCAUAUAAAAUGAUAUAGAGAUCAAAGAAUGCAUGAUUAGCAUUGUAAGAAUGCACCAGGUAGAUAUGCAUGUAAACUAGAUGAUAACUCUAGGGUGAGUAGAGUUGAUUGACAAGAGAGAUAUAUGAUACUCGAUUGGACAACAAGGAUGUCGAAUAGAUCGAGUGGCACCUAACCUAGUAUUAAAGAACAUAGGUUGAACGAGUAAACCUAGAGUCGAACAAGUCUAGGUGUGUGGCAUCGAACCUAGUGUUAAUAAACAUAGGUCAGACAAGUGAACCUAGAAGUUGAUAUCUAGGUAGAGAUGAUAUGGAACCUAGUGUUUGUACCUAGGUUAUGUGACUGAGACCUGGAACCUAGAGUGAUAUUGAACCUAGGUUGUUGAGUACAGUGGUAUUAGCCACUAGGAUGUUCUAGGUCGACAGCAUAGGGUUGGCUAUGGACCCUCGACCUGUGGAAGUGGAUUCCGGAAUCCCAGGACUUGUGAUGACCCUGGUAUCAAGGCUAGGGCGUGUGCGACGACUUCGCCGCCGAGGUUGAUACAGAGGGAGGAUUGGGGGCGAUCACUUGGAGAUCACCGCCCGGGGCUUGAACCAUUGACGUGGCGUGUGCGACGACUUCGCCGCCGGAUGGUUAAGCCGAUUGUGGAUCAGACCGCCGAGAUUUACUGCAACCAUUACUGGGUAAGUACGAUAUGGGUGCCACGAGGUGGCUAAGUCACGAUAGAAACCAUUGUUUGGUGAGGUGCGAUUAGUUCGCCGCCAGAUGGGUAUGUCAUGACUUGAGUCCUCGCUGGGUAAGUGCAACGUGUCCGCAGCCAGAAUGGCUAUGUCAAGGGACUUGAGCUGGGUUCAGCGUGUGCGACGAUUUUGCCGCUAAGAGGCUAAGUCACAGAGGGCGGUAGGCUAUUGAGUAGCCAGUGCGCGAACUAUCUGCGGAUGAUUGACUCGAAGCCGAGUCGAAUGGUUAGCUUCGAUAAGGUAGUGGAACCCUUAUGAGCUAGAGAUAGAGGCUUGGGCAAAGGUAAUAGAGACCUUAGAAGCCAGUGGACUUGGAGUGACUCUAAGGUAGUAGAAACCUUAGUGUUGAAUGUUAUGAGCUAAGAGUAGUCAAGUAAAGUGUAGAAUCAAUUGAUCUACUAGUUGUUGCAUAGAGUUGGAUAAUUUUCAUAUCGCAUAUCGUGAGACAUGGCAUGUAUUUCAAUUCGAAUAUAUAUAUCUGUCGUAUAUUGUUGAACUAACAUGUUGCAGUGCCUUCUCGGACCUAUCGGUCGACCUUUUCCCUUGGGUGGCCGUACCCACUGGGAACCAUGGAGUUGGUUCUCACCCCACGUUAUUUUGGGGUGUUUCAGGUCCGCACGUGAGCGGCGCGGGGGCGCGAGGCAAGGGCGUAGCUCCAUAGAUAGCGCCCUACCCUAGAGACCGAGGUAGCAGUACCCUGAGGCAGUCUAGCUUAGGGGACUAGAGGUUAAUGAAACAAAAGUAUCAACUUGUAUUAAUUGUAAUAAUCGGAUUGUAUUUUGGAAGUUCAAGGUAAACAAAUGUAUUAUGUGGAACUUGAGAAUGAAUGCUUGUAAUAACAUAGGAUGUGUUAUGUUUUUGAUACUUCAUUAUGCAAUCUGUUGUUGAGUACUGUUCCUGGUUGGAACCUCUGUAUUGUGUUGAUUGCGAUGCCUUGAAUGUACAGGGGAGACUCUGUCCGUAGUACAGGAAAAACUCUGUCCGUUCGGCGGUCUGUCGGCGUGCCCAC